GUAGGAAUACCCGCUGAACUUAAG
rnacentral:rRNA from 1 species